rnacentral:rRNA from 1 species
UACGAGAGGCCCAAACGUUAUUCGGAUUUACUGGGCUUAAAGAGUUCGUAGGCUGCACAGAAAGUAGGGUGUGAAAGCCCUCGGCUCAACCGAGGAAUUGCGCUCUAAACUGCUGUGCUUGAGGAACCUAGAGGUGAGCAGAACUGAUGGUGGAGCGGUGAAAUGCGUUGAUAUCAUCAGGAAUACCGGAGGCGAAGGUGGCUCACUGGGGGUUUUCUGACGCUGAGGAACGAAAGCCAGGGGAGCGAACGGG